GCGGACGUGGCGGAAUGGUAGACGCAGGGGACUUAAAAUCCCUUGAGCUCAGCUCGUGCGGGUUCGAGUCCCGCCGUCCGUA
rnacentral:tRNA from 1 species